GACGAACGCUGGCGGCGUGCUUAACACAUGCAAGUCGAACGAAGAGCGAUGGAGGCUUGCUUCUAUCAAUCUGAGUGGCGAACGGGUGAGUAACGCGUAAUCAACCUGCCCUUCAGAGGGGGACAACAGUUGGAAAGGACUGCUAAUACCGCAUACGAUCUAAUCUCGGCAUCGAGGAUAGAUGAAAGGUGGCCUCGACAUGUAAGCUAGCACUGAAGGAGGGGAGUGCGGCUGAUUAGCGAGUUGGAGGGGUAACGGACCACCAAGGGGAUGGUCCGUAGCCGGUCUUGGUGGAUGGAUGGCCCCCUUGGGACUGUGACACGGCCCAGUCUCCUUCCGGGGGCAGCAGUUGGGAAACUUCCGCAAUGGACGAAAGUCUGACCGAGCCACGCCGCGGUAGCGAUGACGGCCUUCGGGUUGUAAAGCUCGGUUAAUCGGGACGAAAGGCCUUCUUGCGAAUAGUGAGAAGGAUUGACGGUACCGGAAUAGAAAGCCACGGCUAACUACGUG
rnacentral:rRNA from 1 species